GCCGGCCAUGUUAUCCUGAACAAGCCUGAUCCCGCCUGAUCCUGUCUGAUCUCAGAAGCUAAGUAGGGUCAGGCCUGGUUAGUACUUGUAUGGGAGGCUACCUAGGAAGACCAGGUGCUAUAGGUG
rnacentral:rRNA from 1 species